AUUGAACGCUAGCGGCAUGCCUAACACAUGCAAGUCGAACGAGUGGCGGACGGGUGAGUAAUAUCUCGGAACGUGCCUAAUUGCGGGGGAUAACUACUAGAAACAGUGGCUAAUACCGCAUACUAUCGGAUCUGCCCAUAGCGGAUUAGCUAGUUGGUGGGGUAAAGGCUCACCAAGGCAACGAUCCCUAGCUGGUCUGAGAGGAUGACCAGCCACACUGGGACUGAGACACGGCCCAGACUCCUACGGGAGGCAGCAGUGGGGAAUAUUGGACAAUGGGGGAAAGCCUGAUUCAGCCAUGCCGCGUGUAUGAUGAAGGCCUUCGGGUUGUAAAGUACUUUGGGCAGAGAAGCGGUAUCUGCAGAAGAAGCACCGGCUAACUCCGUGCCAGCAGCCGCGGUAAUAC
rnacentral:rRNA from 1 species